GACGAACGCUGGCGGCAUGCCUAACACAUGCAAGUCGAACGAAGCCUUCGGGCUUAGUGGCGCACGGGUGCGUAACGCGUGGGAAUCUGCCCUUGGGUCCGGAAUAACAGUUAGAAAUGACUGCUAAUACCGGAUGAUGUCUUCGGACCAAAGAUUUAUCGCCCAAGGAUAAGCCCGCGUAGGAUUAGGUAGUUGGUGGGGUAAUGGCCCACCAAGCCGACGAUCCUUAGCUGGUCUGAGAGGAUGAUCAGCCACACUGGGACUGAGACACGGCCCAGACUCCUACGGGAGGCAGCAGUGGGGAAUAUUGGACAAUGGGCGAAAGCCUGAUCCAGCAAUGCCGCGUGAGUGAUGAAGGCCUUAGGGUUGUAAAGCUCUUUUACCAGGGAUGAUAAUGACAGUACCUGGAGAAUAAGCUCCGGCUAACUCCGUGCCAGCCGCCGCCGUAA
rnacentral:rRNA from 1 species